AUUGAACGCUGGCGGCAGGCUUAACACAUGCAAGUCGAGCGGGGGAAGGUAGCUUGCUACUGGACCUAGCGGCGGACGGGUGAGUAAUGCUUAGGAAUCUGCCUAUUAGUGGGGGACAACAUCUCGAAAGGGAUGCUAAUACCGCAUACGUCCUACGGGAGAAAGCAGGGGAUCUUCGGACCUUGCGCUAAUAGAUGAGCCUAAGUCGGAUUAGCUAGUAGGUGGGGUAAAGGCCUACCAAGGCGACGAUCUGUAGCGGGUCUGAGAGGAUGAUCCGCCAUACUGGGACUGAGGCACUGCCCAGAUGCCUACGGGAGGCAGCAGUGGGGAAUAUUGGACAAUGGGGGGAACCCUGAUCCAGCCAUGCCGCGUGUGUGAAGAAGGCCUUAUGGUUGUAAAGCACUUUAAGCGAGGAGGAGGCUACUCUAGUUAAUACCUAGGGAUAGUGGACGUUACUCGCAGAAUAAGCACCGGCUAACUCUGUGCCAGCAGCCGCGGUAA
rnacentral:rRNA from 1 species